rnacentral:rRNA from 1 species
GUCCACGCCGUAAACGAUGGGCACUAGAUGCCGGGCCUAUAGACGGGUUCGGUGUCGCAGCUAACGCAAUAAGUGCCCCGCCUGGGGAGUACGGCCGCAAGGCUGAAACUCAAAGGAAUUGACGGGGGCCCGCACAAGCGGUGGAGCAUGUUGUUUAAUUCGAAGCAACGCGAAGAACCUUACCUAGGCUUGACAUACUAGUGAAACCCCGUGGAAACACGGGGCCUCCUUCGGGACACUAGUACAGGUGCUGCAUGGCUGUCGU